UACGGAGGUGGCAAGCGUUGCUCGGAAUCACUGGGCGUAAAGGGCGCGUAGGCGGGGAGGUAAGUCGGGUGUGAAAUCCCUCGGCCCAACCGAGGAACUGCGCCCGAGACUGCUUCUCUUGAGUCCCGGAGAGGAAGGUGGAAUUCCCGGUGUAGCGGUGAAAUGUGUAGAGAUCGGGAGGAACACCGGUGGCGAAGGCGGCCUUCUGGAGGUGACUGACGCUGAGGCGCGAAAGCGUGGGGAGCAAACGGG
rnacentral:rRNA from 1 species